GUCAGUGAAACCACUGCAGACUUAGUUUGAUGUAAGUGGGACCAGAAAUUGGGGUAUGACAAUUUGAAAACACUUUGAGGAUGUUAUUUUCCCCAGAACUCUUUUAUCAGUGUCACUUGGUGUGUUAUUUAUUCACUACACAUUACACUGCAGUUUCCUGACCAGACUGUGAUAUUUUGCAACAUCCUUUCAGCAUUAUUGUCAAAAUUGUCUAAACUUAAAGAAAAACUUUAAAAUAAUUGAAUUUGCCAGUUUGCUUUAGUCCUAUAUUUGCCUCUGGAAGAUUUCCAGAAUCUAUAACAGACUGAAGUAAGUUGAAAUUACCUUCUCUAAAUUUCAAAAUAAAUGGAGAAGAAAAGGGGAAAAAAUCUUUUGGAGAAAAGAUUAGCAAGUCAAUUAAAAAGAAGUACAGUCUAAAGAAGUGGUUGCAUGAUCUGGGAAAAGAAAUCACUAGCAGCAGCUUAUGGAAGACAUUGGCUUCAAGGUCAGAAUUGUCACUAAUGACAACAAAGAAAAUUUAAAAAAAAAUGUUCCUUUCUUCCUAAUGAAAAAGAAAGGAGAAUUUUAGUACUUUCUGCUUUGAAUUGCUUUUAAAAAUACCCCAGCCAAACAAAAUACAUUGCUGUACCCCCCACUGGCAUGAAUUUUUUGCUUAAUUGUGUUGCCAAGUCAAUUAAAAAUGUCCCUUAUAAUGGAUGGGGAAAGCAACACAAUAAACUCUUAGUAUGACUUCUCUGAAGCAAAACCUUCAGAGACUUUAUGCACAAGUGAUCCUUAUUAAGGCUUGAUUCUGUCUGAAAUAAGAACUAAUACUAGACAUUGUGCAUUAACACAGUAAGCCCUAAAUACAAUAUAUUCUCCUUCUAUGUUUUAAAUUAGGAAUUUAAUCAACCUCAGGACAGCUCUGUGGCAUUGAAGUCAACUGGAAGAGUACAGUACAUGUUCAUUACAUAAAAUUGCCUUAGCCUUCCAAACUGGAUGGCCACAUCCAAAUUGUCCAUUGGAAAAGAUCCAUAAUCAUACUCAAUUCUGAGUCAUGGAUCUGUUUGCAUUUUUGGAACUUCUAUAAUUGUCUUGUGAAGGAAAACUUUAAUGUCUCAGGAUUUGAGACAGCUACCCUCUUCAGUGACUUUUUGGUAUGUAUCAGGUUGCAGGACAAAUGGGGGCUGUCUGCAGGAACCAGUUGGAUGGAAAGCUACCUAUAGCCAGCUAAUUAAAAAGCUCAGAAGGUUCUCCAAGAUAGGUGCUCUGUCUGGUUGGAACCCGCAGCCUGAUCCUGAAAGCUGGUGCUGACUGUAAUUUCUCCUGAACCUUUCCUUUAAGGCAUGUCUGGAGCUGCCUUUCUCCAUUUGAAUGGUAGUUUAACAGGCAGGAAGUAUCAUGGAAAACCUAAAAUACAGAUAUGAUUGCCAACCAGGAAACUUUGGAAUUUGUGACACUGGAAAGAGUGAGAGACCACACAUGGGGUUGGAGAGAUGAAAGAAUCAGCUUGCUCCUUAAUCACUCCAGUGACAAGAAACAUGUUUCAUCCUGCCCCUCAAAUGCUUUGCUCUACCAGACACCAUCUGCAUGAAUACGAUAUUCCCAAAGAAAUCUACUUACUGAGUGGUGUGAGGCAAGGAAACAGGAAUAUUAACAGAGAUGUGAAUGUUCAGCCAGCACAUAAACAUUGAUGGCUCCAGGAAAAAUGAUGGCAGAAAGGUUUGUUGUGCUGCAAAGAAAUAUUGUGGUACAUUGCACCUGUGAUAUAUCCACCCUAACAACGGAUGAGGAGAGAAGGAACAUUCAUGAUUUUGCAAUAAUGAGAUUGCUGAUCCACAACCUGCUGGCAAUUUCUGUACAGAGGAAAUAAAGUCAAAUAGAAUUGCCAAGGACCUCAUCUCCAUGCUGAUAACUGCGCAACUCCUCAGACACAUCCAUCCUCAGAUUACUCUUUCUGUUAUUAAAACUUUUAUUUUUAUGGCUAAAGUUGUGGUGAGUGGUCUUGUCCUCUGGGCAGUGAACUAUCUGUAGACUACACAUCUCCAUUUAUUUUGUCAGAUUUUAUGCAUUGGCAAUUUUUUUACUGACAAGACUCAGUCAAAUAUGAAAUUCAAACUGAUAGGUACCAAUUCUAAGAGAUUUUUUCCCUGUUUACCUUUAAUUGUUUUCUAAUUGAUACAAAUAACUAUGUGGAUGCUGCUUUAUAUCAAUUAGUCUCCAAAGAUUAGAGUCAGUUUAUACUGGAGUUAACCUACCACUGUCAAAUUGAAAUAGUGCUUAUACAAAGUCUCAUGACAGUAUAAAUUGGAUUUCAAUUGGAUUUUAAAUAAAUUGGUGCAUUUUCCUUUUGCAGACAAAUCUUUAUUUAAUAACACUACACAUGGUACACCAGAUAUGCAAAAAUUAACACUGAUGAGAUGUUGCAUAAAUGACCAGUGCUCACUGGUUUUCCUUGCUUGAGAGAUCAAGGGUUAAUCAAGGAAACAGGAGGAAGAGUGAAUCAUGCAGGGACUAGAAUGUCUUAUCAGCUGUGACCUGCUCAGCUGCUGAGACACGGAAGAAACAAGGAAGUGAUUUAUAGGUUAUGGCAGUUCAAGACUCACUCUUCAGGAUUUGUUGGAGAAUCAUGAUACUUUUCACCGUGCUCAUCUCUGUCUUGCAAUGCUCCUCAUUUGGGAACUUCCUAUUAGUGGGCUGUUUUCCAUUAGCAUGGCACAAGUUUCCCACUACAUACUGAAAAAAAAAAAAAAAAAAUCCCUUACCUGUCUAUGUCCAUACAGGUUUCUGUAAAUUAUACUGUUGCUAUGAACAAAUAUAUUUAACCCUAGCAAUUUGCAAGCGUACUGAUACAGAGCUAUUAAAGCACCAUUUAUAAGUUGAGAAGGCCUGUCUGCUACUAUUUACAAGUUUGUCUUCCAUUCAACUUCAGUAUUUAGCUUAGAAAUAGAUAGAAUAAAACAAAGUAAAGCAGAUAUGAGUAAGUCACAAGGACUGUGCUUGAUAUGGAGGUCUGUGUCUCUGGGAAAUAUAUUAUGAUGGAUAGUUACUUUUAUAAUCUUUUUGUAUGUCAUUUGAAUGUCAUAAAUAUCUGUCAGAUUUCCUAAAAAAAUAAGUCUUUCUUCAGACAUUACCAGAUACAGAGGAUAUCAUUCAGUUUUCUCACUGAAAGCAAGAAUAAUUUAAAUUGAUCUGUCUCUGCGAACAAUGACCACUGAAAAAGUCUAUAUACCAGGCAUUCUAGCCAGUCACCAAUAAAUGGCAUGUAAACUAAAAAA